rnacentral:tRNA from 1 species
GCAAGUGUAGUAUAACGGCAAUUAUGCCUGACUUCCACUCAGGCGAUGACGGUUCGAUUCCGUUCACUUGCUCCA